AGAUAUCACUGGUUAGAGAUCAUAUGUACACAAUAUAACAAUGUGAUCUUGCCUUAGCUUUUGUGAGAUUGAGGGGACUUACUAGAGAUGGCUUCAGUCGUUUUGGACAUGUGGAUGUAGAUUCUUCUGGGGUCUUCAGUGAUCUUGCUUGCCGAAACUUUUCUUUGACCCGUUUUACUUCCUCAUUGUUGAUUAGUGGAGCCCGUUCUGUUUUGAAUUUUCUCUUGAGUUGGCUGUGCCAGGUAUGCUGGUUGUUCCAAACAGAUAUCAUGAAAGUUAAUUAUGCAUACUUCUGUAAAUCUAAAAUCUGUUCAAAUUAGAGACCAAAGGAGAGGUACUUACAUAACCAUUCCCGUGUACAUCCCUUAAGAAAGGGUACUUCCCAAUUAACGCUUUAACGAUCUGAACGUAGUCCGAGUUGGUUGGAUACCUGUCUCAAACAAUGACAAAACAAACUACAUUACCAUAUUACGGUGAAUAAGAGACUGCAGGAGAAAAUUUUAAUAUCACUUUCUACCUGUUUAAAUGUAUGCUUGUUGAACAGGUGUAGGGAUAAAGUAUUGGUAUUUACUUGCAAAGGUUUAAUUACAUUUAUAGUAACAAGUGUAGUUGUCAUCAACUCGAGUAAAAUGUUAUAUUCACUGCACGUGGUUCACUGACUUCACUCCGUGCACGUGUUAUUGAGUGGGUGUGUGCCGGGGUGACAAGUUUGCAUGCGUGCAUCUGGUGAAAAAUUAUAAAAACUGUACAUAUUACAUUUUAUGUUUUGUAUGAUAAUUGGAAAAGAACACUUACAUUGUACACUGUGACAGCAUGUCAUACAGAUUCCCAAUUAUUUUGUUACGGUACUUUUGUUCCUUGUGGACCGGUUCUUUAGCAUCUAAGCGGCUCUGGACAUCUUGUGGGAAUUGUGGAAUGGAAAUGACUGCAGGCAGUCUGUGGCAAGUAGAUUCCAACCUGCAAUACAGCAGAAGAACAGCAUUAUCAGAUUAGGACAACACCACCUCAAUGCAAGAUAAAAAUAGAAAAAGAAAUGGUGAAAAAAAUAGCCUAAUUAAUACAUUACCACCUCUGGUUUGCUGGGGACACAGAAGCUUCACAUGUUUGUUGUUCUGGGUUGACCACUUCCAAAGUAACGGUGACCUCCUUGUUGCGGUGUGUGAAGUCUCUGAAUUUUAGCUGCUUUUUGAAAGACUUGUCAAAGAGAUAUGCAAUCAUAUUUUCUGUGAGUCCGCAGUCUACUGUCUCUCCAUCCACAUCAUUGUCUGAAAUAUAAAUGAAAAAGCUAUUAAAAGAAGCACUGAAACUCUGGACAUACAGAUAGUGACUGAUGCAAUUCAUAAAAAAACAAACUUUUUUGCAACUCGCUGUAAUGUGGUUUGUAAAUAAAGUUUUAAAAAAAACUGUAUAUAAUCAUUAUAUGUCAUUAUACAGAAAUGUUUAGUAUGCUAUUUUUCUACUUCUCAUUAUCAUCAUUGAUUAUUAAUAAUAGUGUUUAAAGUGAGCCUUUUAUGUUCAACAGAAAAAUACAUCAUACAAACGGCAACUUUUGCAGCCUUGUCAGUCUGAUGGCGAGUUAUCACCUUUGUCAUCACUAACAUACUGUUAAUAAUCAAAGCUCUGAGGCUUUACAUUUGUUCUAUAUGUUAGAAAACAAGAUGUCAGCAUCAAGCUAUAAUCAGGCUACAUUCAUGAUUUUGUACAGUCAAACUAACCAAAAACUUCUUAUUGAUCAUCAUUAUAACGUUUCAGGAUUUCAGUUUCCUGUAACCAUGGUAACUCACGGUGCCAGUGGGGAGGGAGGGACGCGGAAUGAAGCUGUUUACAGACACACCCCAAAGUGCAGACUAUAGUUGUUAUUUCACACAUGUAGCACACAGCUGGAUACUCUUUGUGUCAGACGAGUUAUCACGUGUUGACUAAAGUCAAAAACUAACGUACGUGGCACCGCGACGAGUCCUUGUAAAUACAAGAUGUGUUGCGUGAACUAUCUUAAGCCACUCAGCACUAAUAUCCCCGCACAUUGCUGUGUGUUGCGUUAAACGGAAGAUAAAAGGUUGCUACUGGGAGAGAAAAUGAAUUAAGCCAAUUCAAAAUAUAUAUUUUUUCCUUUAACAUGUUUUUACCACUAACUGUGAUAUACAUGUUUUGUCAGAAUAAAAAUGGAAACAUGAAUAAAUAAACACCAAGUAAGAAACACUAGUGAAUAAGAUAAAUAACUUCAGAGUGUAUUCGCGGGCUUGGGUGAUUUCUUUUGUUUGUUGGAGCUUUGAGCGGGAGACCGUGUACCUUUGCUAGCUUGACAUUAGCAUGGCUAAUAACGUUAGCCGACUUAACUAUUUGAGCAAACUAGCUAAUAUUUUCAAUAACUUUACUUACUACCUACGUAUUUGGCAGUUCAAGAUACAGUAUUGUCUAGCUUAGCUACAGUAGCGUUAAGUGAAUUAACGUUAGUGACUGUAAUAUCAGAACCAGCUUAGCUAGCUAGCUAGCUACUGAUACCAAUGAUUUGAUGUUAGCUAGAAACGUCUUUGAUAGUUAUGAAGUUCAAACUUCACUUACCUCUAAAUUUCUGAGCCUCCUCUUCUGAAAUUUGGAUUCCUCCUUCCACCACCAACUUUUGUAAAAGUUCCUCCGUGGACAGCCCCCUGAGUGGCAUAGCUACUGAAUGAACAGUUGAAUCGUGAACGCACACUUUUCUUUUUUUUUGUGAACUGACUCCUGUCUGUCCUGCGCGGCACUAGUUUGACGUCUCUGGUAUUAGUGCGCCGCUGUUGCUUGACAACCAGUGUGCUACCUUGGGGAACUAUAUUUUGGCAGAAGAAUUAGGAUUUGUUUUCAGUAAAUAAUCACGUUUUAUGUUACUGGGUUGUCUACAGCCACCAAUUUAGU
ensembl:lncRNA